UGUCAAAGCUGUUUGAGAACUACUGUUCAUAACAAGGAAGUUCCCAUGCCUCCUCUCCUCUUCUCCAUGCCAUCUCCCUCUCCUCUCUGAUCUCUGAUCCUUUUCCAUAUCCAAAGGAGUUGGGCAUCCCAUCUGGUGGUCUCGAAGCAUCGAGUUCCAUUCGAUCUGCGCAAAGGAACAAGAAGGCUAUGAUUAAGCA
rnacentral:lncRNA from 1 species